GAUGAACGCUGGCGGCGUGCCUAAUACAUGCAAGUCGAGCGAACGGACGAGAAGCUUGCUCCUCUGAUGUUAGCGGCGGACGGGUGAGUAACACGUGGAUAACCUACCUAUAAGACUGGGAUAACUUCGGGAAACCGGAGCUAAUACCGGAUAAUAUUUUGAACCGCAUGGUUCAAUAGUGAAAGACGGUUUUGCUGUCACUUAUAGAUGGAUCCGCGCCGCAUUAGCUAGUUGGUAAGGUAACGGCUUACCAAGGCAACGAUGCAUAGCCGACCUGAGAGGGUGAUCGGCCACACUGGAACUGAGACACGGUCCAGACUCCUACGGGAGGCAGCAGUAGGGAAUCUUCCGCAAUGGGCGAAAGCCUGACGGAGCAACGCCGCGUGAGUGAUGAAGGUCUUCGGAUCGUAAAACUCUGUUAUUAGGGAAGAACAUAUGUGUAAGUAACUGUGCACAUCUUGACGGUACCUAAUCAGAAAGCCACGGCUAACUACGUG
rnacentral:rRNA from 1 species